rnacentral:rRNA from 1 species
UACGUAGGGUGCGAGCGUUAAUCGGAAUUACUGGGCGUAAAGCGUGCGCAGGCGGUUGGGUAAGUCUGAUGUGAAAGCCCCGGGCUCAACCUGGGAAUGGCAUUGGAAACUGGUCAGCUGGAGUGUGGCAGAGGGGGGUGGAAUUCCGCGUGUAGCAGUGAAAUGCGUAGAGAUGCGGAGGAACACCGAUGGCGAAGGCAGCCCCCUGGGCCAACACUGACGCUCAGGCACGAAAGCGUGGGGAGCAAACAGG